GCUUACGGCCAUACCAGCCUGUACGCCCGAUCUCGUCCGAUCCUGAAAAAUAAACAUGCUUGGGCUUGGCCAGUACUUGGAUGGGUGACCGCCUGGGAACACCGAGUGCUGUAAGCU
rnacentral:rRNA from 1 species